UACGGGGGGGGCAAGCGUUGUUCGGAAUUACUGGGCGUAAAGGGCUCGUAGGUGGCCAACUAAGUCGGACGUGAAAUCCCUCGGCUUAACCGGGGAACUGCGUCCGAUACUGGUUGGCUUGAGUUUGGGAGAGGGAUGCGGAAUUCCAGGUGUAGCGGUGAAAUGCGUAGAUAUGCGGAGGAACACCGAUGGCGAAGGCAAUCCCCUGGGCCUGCACUGACGCUCAUGCACGAAAGCGUGGGGAGCAAACAGG
rnacentral:rRNA from 1 species